CAGCCGUAAACUAUGCGCGUUAGGUGUACUGGUGACCACGAGUCACCGGGGUGCCGAAGGGAAACCGUGAAACGUGCCGCCUGGGAAGUACGGUCGCAAGGCUGAAACUUAAAGGGAAUUGGCGGGGGGAGCACCACAACGGGUGGAGCCUGCGGUUUAAUUGGACUCAACGCCGGACAACUCACCGGGGACGACAGCAAUAUGUAGGCCAGGCUGAAGACCUUGCCUGAAUCGCUGAGAGGUGGUGCAU
rnacentral:rRNA from 1 species